rnacentral:rRNA from 1 species
AUUGAACGCUGGCGGCAGGCCUAACACAUGCAAGUCGAACGGUAACAGAAAGCAGCUUGCUGCUUUGCUGACGAGUGGCGGACGGGUGAGUAAUGUCUGGGAAACUGCCUGAUGGAGGGGGAUAACUACUGUAAACGGUAGCUAAUACCGCAUAACGUCGCAAGACCAAAGAGGGGGACCUUCGGGCCUCUUGCCAUCGUAUGUGCCCAGAUGGGAUUAGCUAGUAGGUGGGGUAAAGGCUCACCUAGGCGACGAUCCCUAACUGGUGUGAGAAGAUGACCAGCCACACUGCAACUGAGACACGUUCCAGACUCCUACGGGAGGCAGCAGUGGGGAAUAUUGCACAAUGGGCGCAAGCCUGAUGCAGCCAUGCCGCGUGUAUGAAGAAGGCCUUCGGGUUGUAAAGUACUUUCAGCGGGGAGGAAGGGAGUAAAGUUAAUACCUUUGCUCAUUGACGUUACCCGCAGAAGAAGCACCGGCUAACUCCGUG